GUCCUGGCAACGGGAUGAGUAAAGCGGCGAACGGGUGAGUAACGCGUGAGUAAUCUACCCUCUAGUCUGGGAUAACCUUCCGAAAGGUGGGCUAAUACCGGAUAAUGUCUUCUUGGGGCAUCCCAUGAAGAGCAAAGGGGGCGCCCGCAAGGGGCUCUCGCUGGAGGAGAAACUUGCGUCCGAUUAGCUAGUUGGUGAGGUAACGGCUCACCAAGGCGACGAUCGGUAGCCGGCCUGAGAGGGUGACCGGCCACACUGGGACUGAGAUACGGCCCAGACUCCUACGGGAGGCAGCAGUGGGGAAUCUUGCGCAAUGGGCGAAAGCCUGACGCAGCGACGCCGCGUGGGGGACGAAGGCCUUCGGGUUGUAAACCCCUGUCAGGCGGAACGAAUCCCCUGAGGACGAAUAAUCCUUGGGGUUGACGGUACCGCCAGAGGAAGCCCCGGCUAACUACGUGCCAGCAGCCGCGGUGAUACGUAGGGGGCAAGCGUUGCUCGGAUUUACUGGGCGUAAAGAGCGCGUAGGCGGCCAGGUAAGUCCGGUGUGAAAUUCCUCGGCUCAACCGAGGGCCCGCAUCGG
rnacentral:rRNA from 1 species